rnacentral:rRNA from 1 species
UACGUAGGGUGCGAGCGUUGUCCGGAAUUACUGGGCGUAAAGAGCUCGUAGGUGGUUUGUCGCGUUGUUCGUGAAAACUCACAACUCAAUUGUGGGCGUGCGGGCGAUACGGGCAGACUGGAGUACUGCAGGGGAGACUGGAAUUCCUGGUGUAGCGGUGGAAUGCGCAGAUAUCAGGAGGAACACCGGCGGCGAAGGCGGGUCUCUGGGCAGUAACUGACGCUGAGGAGCGAAAGCGUGGGGAGCGAACAGG